CUGCGCGGACGGUCCCCACCCCCUCGAUGCCUGUCGGCUCGUGUGCGGAUGAGUUGCCCGGGUCUGAAGGGUUUGGUGGGGCCAGCAGGAAGGAAGCUGCUGAAGAGAGAGGGGCGUAUGGAUACGACGGAGGUGAUAAAGGCGCAUCCGCUGAGUCUGGGCGGGGCGGAGAGCAGAGGACAGUGAGAAGCGGAAGUACACAUGUGAAACUUAUGGUCCCUCCCUGCCAGAGUGAGCAAUAAAAGCAAGAGUUCUCCUCAGAGGGGAGGAAGCUAAGCUGCAAAGACUCAUAGGAAAGAAGACUCACAGACCAGACUGUGCCUGGAAGAGGUUAAGACUGCCUGAGGCAUCUGGAAGGGACUCUCCAACCUGUUGAGCUGUCUGCAGACUGUGCAGUGUGCUCCAGGUUCCCAGCUUUGUGAGCUGUCAGCAUGCUGGAAUGGGCUUUGGUAAUGCAGCUGUCUUUGAGUUAUUUCUGCACCUGUAUGUAACCCCUCACCCAUACUCCUGUAAGCAAUCCCAAUAAAACGCCAUGGUUCACAAAGUUGGAAUUUGGACAUACCUG